rnacentral:rRNA from 1 species
UCGGACGGGGUGAGUAACGCGUGAGAAUCUAGCUUCAGGUCGGGGACAACCACUGGAAACGGUGGCUAAUACCGGAUAUGCCGAGAGGUGAAAGGCUUGCUGCCUGAAGAUGAGCUCGCGUCUGAUUAGCUAGUAGGUGUGGUAAAAGCGCACCUAGGCGACGAUCAGUAGCUGGUCUGAGAGGAUGAUCAGCCACACUGGGACUGAGACACGGCCCAGACUCCUACGGGAGGCAGCAGUGGGGAAUUUUCCGCAAUGGGCGAAAGCCUGACGGAGCAAUACCGCGUGAGGGAGGAAGGCUCUUGGGUUGUAAACCUCUUUCUCAGGGAAGAAAAAAAUGACGGUACCUGAGGAAUAAGCAUCGGCUAACUCCGUGCCAGCAGCCGCGGUAAUACGGAGGAUGCAAGCGUUAUCCGGAAUGAUUGGGCGUAAAGGGUCCGCAGGUGGCUAUGUAAGUCUGCUGUUAAAGAACCUAGCUUAACUAGGUAAAAGCAGUGGAAACUACAAGGCUAGAGUGCGUUCGGGGUAGAGGGAAUUCCUGGUGUAGCGGUGAAAUGCGUAGAUAUCAGGAAGAACACCAGGGCGAAGGCGCUCUACUAGGCCGCAACUGACACUGAGGGACGAAAGCUAGGGGAGCGAAUGGGAUUAGAUACCCCAGGAAGUCAUGCGUUA